GACAAUGUUGGACAACUCGAGACUCACGU
rnacentral:sRNA from 1 species